UCCUUGAGUAAAUUUUUACGGACUAAGGUGGAACAUCUCCUCAUCUAGUAUGAUGCUUGCAUAUAAGUUAUUCCAAGCCUCACCUGUACUUGUGAACCUUGAAGUGUCUACCUUGACAUCUAGGGUGGUUGAGGAAUGGAAUGGAUUAGAAACGAGUCACCUUUACUUCUCCUGCUCAGAUAACUUGGGUUUUUCAAAGAUUUUUAAAUCAAAACAUAGCCUUGCUCCUUGAAUGAUUCUCUCAGAUCGCUCAAUGUGUAUGGUUUCUUACCAAGGCAUUCGGUAGGGGAUGAAAAGGAGGCAUAUUUGUAUUACUUAUAUUGCAAGGUCAAAAACUGGAUCCAAGGAGAAGCAAAUCAUACAAUCUAAUCAAGAUGUGCAUGUGUGUGAAUAUGAGGAUGGUGGAUGGAAGAUGUAUGAAAACUCCUUUUUAUAUGAUCCCUCUCCCUUUUGAAAUAUCUUGAGAACAUGGCUAUCUCUUUUUUUUCGUGCCCUUUGACCUUCAUGUGUCCAACUCUUUUUUUCUCUUAUACUUGGACUUUCAUGUGUUCAUAUUUUUUUUCUUUUCUAUAGUGGUACCUUCAUGUGUUCAUAUUUUUUUUGAUAGCCCAUGUGUAUUUUGUAACGAUAACUGGAGGGAGAGAUCAACAUUUAUAGUAGAGCAUUUAUUUUGUGCAAUGGAUACAGGGAUGGGUGAAAUGUUGCCAACUCCUAGUGUAGGAGUUUAGCAAAUAUAAAGUGGAGUGUACGUGAUCUCGAUCAUGAAAGUAUGAAAAGUUUCUCACUUGGCUCACAACAGCUUGACAAAGCUCAAUGCAAAACAGGUAGCAUAUGUAUAAGGUUUUCAAUGAGAUCAACAUAUGACUUUGGUAGGAAUAUAAGUGAGGAAUAAAGAGUAUGCAAGCUAACCAUAGGAAAGGCAUGUUCAACAUAAGGAGAUAGCAAGGUUCAUUGAGUUUAAUUUUACACAACAAGAUAAAAUUUGUUUAAACUGAAGAACUUAGGGAGUUUGAGAGUUGUGUUGGACAAACCAUCAUUGAAGAUGAAGAGGAAGACAAGGGGAGUCAGAGAUGACUCGGUCGAACCAUCUUGACUCCAUCUGUCUUAUUCUUUUGCUCACUGGACCAUCAAGUGUUUGUUGAACAUGUUGAUGGGUGAUCUCGAAUAAGUGUGAGUUUGGUAACUUGAGAGAUCUCCCCCACACUUACUCUUGUACAUGUUUUUAUUCAACAAAAGAAUAAAGAUGGAAACAAGCAAGGACUCUACCAGUUUUAAAC
rnacentral:lncRNA from 1 species